rnacentral:rRNA from 1 species
CUAUACAUGCAGUCGAGCGAAUGGAUUGAGAGCUUGCUCUCAAGAAGUUAGCGGCGGACGGGUGAGUAACACGUGGGUAACCUGCCCAUAAGACUGGGAUAACUCCGGGAAACCGGGGCUAAUACCGGAUAACAUUUUGAACCGCAUGGUUCGAAAUUGAAAGGCGGCUUCGGCUGUCACUUAUGGAUGGACCCGCGUCGCAUUAGCUAGUUGGUGAGGUAACGGCUCACCAAGGCAACGAUGCGUAGCCGACCUGAGAGGGUGAUCGGCCACACUGGGACUGAGACACGGCCCAGACUCCUACGGGAGGCAGCAGUAGGGAAUCUUCCGCAAUGGACGAAAGUCUGACGGAGCAACGCCGCGUGAGUGAUGAAGGCUUUCGGGUCGUAAAACUCUGUUGUUAGGGAAGAACAAGUGCUAGUUGAAUAAGCUGGCACCUUGACGGUACCUAACCAGAAAGCCACGGCUAACUACGUGCCAGCGGCCGCGGUAAUACGUAGGUGGCAAGCGUUAUCCGGAAUUAUUGGGCGUAAAGCGCGCGCAGGUGGUUUCUUAAGUCUGAUGUGAAAGCCCACGGCUCAACCGUGGAGGGUCAUUGGAAACUGGGAGACUUGAGUGCAGAAGAGGAAAGUGGAAUUCCAUGUGUAGCGGUGAAAUGCGUAGAGAUAUGGAGGAACACCAGUGGCGAAGGCGACUUUCUGGUCUGUAACUGACACUG